AAUGGGGUCCUUGCAGCAGCUCAUGUCCUCAAGUCAAUAAAGAAACCUUUAUCCUUGCAUUCGUUCACUCCCACCUCCCCUCUACCCCAGUUCCACUCCCCCUCCAUUUUCUCUUCAGAAAAGAGAAGCCUUCCAAGCAACAACAACCAAACAUGACAAAACAAGAUACAGUAAGACAAG
rnacentral:lncRNA from 1 species